AUUCCAGCUCCAAUAGCGUAUAUUAAAGUUGUUGCCGUUAAAAAGCUCGUAGUCGAACUUCGGUCCCUGUUGGUCGGUCCGCCUUCUUGGUGUGUACUUACUCAACGGGGACUUACCUCCUGGUGAACUGCGAUGUCCUUUACUGGGUGUCGUAGCGAACUAGGACGUUUACUUUGAAAAAAUUAGAGUGUUCAAAGCAGGCCUACGCCCGAAUACAUUAGCAUGGAAUAAUAGAAUAGGACGCGCGUUCCCAUUUUGUUGGUUUCUGAGAUCGCCGUAAUGAUUAAUAGGGAUAGUUGGGGGCAUUUGUAUUCCGUCGUCAGAGGUGAAAUUCUUGGAUUGCCGGAAGACAAACUAUUGCGAAAGCAUUUGCCAAGGAUGUUUUCAUUA
rnacentral:rRNA from 1 species